CAGCAGUCUGGGUUGAGGAAGGAAGGGGAGGCGUGUUGUUCCCUCUGUCUGCCACAUUCCCAGCGAUGGCUAGCAAGGUGAUGGAAAAGGCAGCUUCUCCACUCAUUGGAGCUUUCAGCAAGCGAGCCCCCUGUCUGGCUGUUCAGCUAUGGAGAAUCCCAUGCAAGGCAUAGAAAGUCCAACAAGGCACACAGCAAUAAUUGUGUUGUUCUGAAUAGAAG